GUGUUGGGGUUAGCAUUGCAUGCACAUCCUGGCUGUGUCUUCAGCUGACAUUUCAUAGACUCAUAGAACAGUUUGGGUUGGCAGGGACCUUAACAUUUAUCCAGUUCUGAACCCUCGCCAUGGGCAGGGACACUUUCCACUAGACCCGGUUUUUCAAGGCCCCAUCCAACAUGGCCUUGAACGUUAACAGGGUCGGGGACACCCACAGCCUCUCUGGGAAACUUCUUCCAAUGUCUCAGGGAAAAAUUUCUUCCUAAUUCAUAACCCAAAUCUAUCCUCUUUCAGUUUAAAGUCAUUGCCCUUUCUCCUAUCACUACAUGCCUUGUAAACAGUCCCUCUCUGUAGGAGUGUAGGAGAGUUCCCCUAAUACCUUUCCAGGUCUCUUGUAGCCUGUUUUGCUACUGGAGGGGUGCUACAAGGUCUCCCCAGAGCCUUCACUUUUCUAGGCUGAGACCCCAACUCCCUGAGCCAUGCCUCAUAAGUGAGGUGCUCCAGACAUCUGAUCAUCUUUGGGGCCUCCUCUGGACUCAUUCCAACAAGUCACAUCCCUCUUAUGUUGGAUGCAGCUCUCCAGGGGGUUGACUGGCUGCCAAGGGCCCUGACAACAAAUCUGUCCUGCUUCAGGAAGCAAAUGUGGCAUCCAAGCUCAGAGAUGUCCAGAUAUCCUGUGCCUUCAUUGUGCGUGGGAAACAAGUGCGUGUGGAGAAUAAAAGUCUACCUAUGAUACUGCACUCCACUCUGAGAGAGCAGAGGCUUCAUGAGAUUAUCCUUGAAUAUAUAAGCAAUCAGUUGUACCCCAUAAGGAAGCUCCAGACAGGAAAAUUGAAGUACUAGCUGAAAUAUCAUAUGAGCUGUGUUGUGGUCAUUUCUGUGAGAAGACAGAAGCUUGCAAGUCCAGUUUUGCUCUACAGUAUUUGCGUGUAUUGCGGGAUACCCAGACUUCAGAUUCCUGGGACACUCUGCCUGGUCAUGGAUAAACCAUUACAAGAGCAAAGAACUGGAGUUGGUCAAGGUAUACAGCUACAGAGAGGUGACUCCUGAUUCUGAUUGUGAAAACCCCAGAUGUAUGAAUGAGGGCAGUCACCUUGAGAAGUAUCCCUGAAGUCUGGCAAGGAGAGGCUGCACAAUCUGUGCUGUACCACAGCGACUGAAGAUUUUGGCUGCCAUCCUCUGCAGGGAAACGAAGGCACAGAGAUGCUAAAGGACACAUCCCAGAUUUAUAAUUUCCUACAUGCUGGAAGUAGGACAGGAAUGUCUAAUCUCUUAUUUCUUGAAAAAAACACCACAUCACGAUAAGACCUUGAUGAAACCAAACACUGAGUUGCCAGCAUAGAAAGGACAUCGACUUGCUGGAAUGAGACCAGGGGAAGACACAAAGAUUCACAGGGGCUGCUGCACAGUCACACCAAUGCAAGUUUCUGCAAAUCUCUGCAGAGAUCUCGGUUAGAUCCCACAGCGACAAAUCUUUAAUGUAUGCUUUAGAACUGACAGCAGACCUCAAGCCAGUCUUCCUUUACUGCAAAAACGAGGGAUUUCUUCUCUUGUGAAUGGAAGCUGUUCACGUUUUUUAUGGAGAAGAGACUGUCAUACUCCAGAGAAACAUGGAAAAAUGCAGAGUGGGUCAAGCAGGAGACUUCCUUGGCCUUUUGGAACAUGCCCAGCUACUGAAGGCACUGGCUUACACUAUGUGGCAUUGCUGGCAUAAACAAGUAUUUACAGUUUAUGCAGCAAAGAAGACAAUCACCUAUAGUGUCCUUCUGCUGCUCUGGGUGUACAGCUAACCACGCUUCAGGAAACUCCAGUAUUGCCACUAGCAUAAAGAUAAAACAGAGAAAGAACAAGCCCAUUGCAACAACAAGAUAAUCUCUUCAGUAGCUGAGAUGUCUUCACUUGUGAGUAGAAAGCACAGGGAAAUAAAUAUCGUAAGAAUGGCACUAAGGACAAGAUAGACCUAUUUAUAUUUAAUAGGACUUUGUAGACUUCUGUGGCCUGAUUGCAGUGACAUGGUACAUAAAUGAUAUAAUUUCAUUGGAUUAAAAGGAGUUAUUCAUUUAUCUGGAGUUAGCCAGCAUCAGCUCUGAAAUCACCAGAUUGUACCAUUAUUUAUCGGUAAAAUUCUUAUUCUAAACAUCUGAGUUUAUCCCUUCAGGCAUAGUUAGGCCAUAUGCAGUCAUAGAAUUUCAAAUUUUGCUUGGAGCAUAAAUAUGAGGCUAGACAAUUGAAAGAGAGUUUUUAUACAUCCUUACAAUUUAUGUUUUAGCAUAUAAUGAGCAAGUGCUCCCAUGUAUGAUGAUUAGGUAUUUAUUUCCUCUGCAAGCCAAUGGUCAUGGAUUCUCUCAUCAAAAACUGUGUACUUUCAUUUCCUCUCUUGUUCUUUCAUUCACCUCUCCAUUGUUAAACAAUUAAGUAGUAAAAGCUAUUAAUAUUAUGUUAAAAAAUUCAUCCUAUUUCACGGUUUUUUUCCAGUCUUGUUACACUAUUUUCAUGUGAAAACAUGGAUGAAAACACUUAGCAAAACAAAAGACACACAAAAUAUCAGAAGUAGGACAUUUGUAGAUAAUCUUCAAAACAUAUUGCCAUAUGAAUUAAAGAAUGAAAACCAUCAACACGUUGUAGCUUCUAAGACUUUUUUUCUUGUAUAUAUAUGAACAUUUGUUCUGCUUUAAAGGAUGUAUGUGUAUGAAGCAUUUCUCAAUAAAUAGCAUCAAAAUCAUGCAUGAAAGGUCACUCUGAGCUCUCUUAAAUGCAUGGUAUCAUCUGCUACAUGAAAUUAGGAAAGCUAGAAUGAUAAGCAGUUUCCUUUAAUGGGAAAAAUUGGCAAUUUCUCCAACAAAUAGCUCUGUAUGAUGGCAGUAGAGCUCAGAGAGAGGGGAAAAUUGAGGAGAAUUACACUGCAGAACCAACAUCUUUUCCAGCCCUAUGAAAAAGAGCUGUUCAUUAGACCAACUAUUCUCCCUGGGUCUGACAAGUGUCUAUCCAUGUAAGGAUUUUUUUGUUCUUCAUAUUUAGGUAACAGGUGAA